CGUACAGGCUUAACACAUGCAAGUCGAGGGGCAGCAUGAACUUAGCUUGCUAAGUUUGAUGGCGACCGGCGCACGGGUGAGUAGCACGUAUCCAACCUGCCCUGUACACACGGAUAACAUACCGAAAGGUAUGCUAAUACGGGAUAACAUAUGGAAUUCGCAUGUUUUCCAUAUCAAAGCUUUUGCGGUACAGGAUGGACCCGCGUCUGAUUAGCUUGUUGGUGAGGUAACGGCUCACCAAGGCGACGAUCAGUAGCCGACCUGAGAGGGUGAUCGGCCACAUUGGAACUGAGACACGGUCCAAACUCCUACGGGAGGCAGCAGUGGGGAAUAUUGCACAAUGGGCGCAAGCCUGAUGCAGCAACGCCGCGUGAGCGAUGAAGGCCUUCGGGUCGUAAAGCUCUGUCCUAAGGGAAGAUAAUGACGGUACCUUAGGAGGAAGCCCCGGCUAACUACGUGCCAGCAGCCGCGGUAAUACGUAGGGGGCGAGCGUUAUCCGGAUUUACUGG
rnacentral:rRNA from 1 species